GAAUUUUGGACAAUGGGGGCAACCCUGAUCCAGCAAUGCCGCGUGUGUGAAGAAGGCCUUCGGGUUGUAAAGCACUUUUGUUCGGGAAGAAAUCCUUUUGGCUAAUAUCCGGAAGGGAUGACGGUACCGGAAGAAUAAGCACCGGCUAACUACGUGCCAGCAGCCGCGGUAAUACGUAGGGUGCGAGCGUUAAUCGGAAUUACUGGGCGUAAAGCGUGCGCAGGCGGUUGUGCAAGACAGAUGUGAAAUCCCCGGGCUUAACCUGGGAACUGCAUUUGUGACUGCACGGCUAGAGUGUGUCAGAGGGGGGUAGAAUUCCACGUGUAGCAGUGAAAUGCGUAGAUAUGUGGAGGAAUACCGAUGGCGAAGGCAGCCCCCUGGGAUAACACUGACGCUCAUGCACGAAAGCGUGGGGAGCAAACAGG
rnacentral:rRNA from 1 species